GAUGAACGCUGGCGGCGUGCCUAAUACAUGCAAGUCGAGCGAACAGAUGAGGAGCUUGCUCCUCUGACGUUAGCGGCGGACGGGUGAGUAACACGUGGAUAACCUACCUAUAAGACUGGGAUAACUUCGGGAAACCGGAGCUAAUACCGGAUAAUAUAUUGAACCGCAUGGUUCAAUAGUGAAAGACGGUUUUGCUGUCACUUAUAGAUGGAUCCGCGCCGCAUUAGCUAGUUGGUAAGGUAACGGCUUACCAAGGCAACGAUGCGUAGCCGACCUGAGAGGAUGAUCGGCCACACUGGAACUGAGACACGGUCCAGACUCCUACGGGAGGCAGCAGUAGGGAAUAUUCCGCAAUGGGCGCAAGCCUGACGGAGCAACGCCGCGUGAGUGAUGAAGGUCUUCGGAUCGUAAAACUCUGUUAUUAGGGAAGAACAAAUGUGUAAGUAACUAUGCACGUCUUGACGGUACCUAAUCAGAAAGCCACGGCUAACUACGUG
rnacentral:rRNA from 1 species